rnacentral:rRNA from 1 species
GACGAACGCUGGCGGCGUGCUUAACACAUGCAAGUCGAACGGAAAGGCCCUGCUUUUGUGGGGUGCUCUAGUGGCGAACGGGUGAGUAACACGUGAGUAACCUGUCCUUGACUUUGGGAUAACUUCAGGACACUGGGGCUAAUACCGGAUAGGAGCUCCUGCUGCAUGGUGGGGGUUGGAAAGUUUCGGCGGUUGGUGAUGGACUCGCGGCUUAUCAGAUUGUUGGUGGGGUAGUGGCUUACCAAGGCUUUGACGGGUAGCCGGCCUGAGAGGGUGACCGGACCCGUUAGGCCUGAGCUGCGACACAGACCCCAACGGGACGCAGCAGUGGGGUGUAUUGCAUAAUGGGCGGGAGCCUGGUGCAGCAACGCCGCGUGCGGGAUGACGGGCUUCGGGUUGUAAACCACUUUUGCCUGUGACGAAGCGUGAAUGACGGUACUGGGUAAAGAAGCACCGGCUAACUACGUG